GAAAAUAUGUUUACGUGUCGUUUUAUUAUUGGUGUAAUUGUCUGACUAUUUUCAUGUUCUCACUUAUUGUGGCGUCUCUCGUGAAACUGAUAUACGUUGCAAAUCUACUUUUUGCUUACUUUGAUAACUUUUUUGCCGGCCAAUAGAUUCCCGAAUCUGUGCAAGCGAAUCAAAUAAGAAAGAAAAGGAAAACGUUAAAAAUGUAAUUUACUUUUUUUGCUUUUAUCCGCAACCACCGAACCAAUGGUCUCUUUUCUCGUUCAGUCAGACAUGGAAUACCCCGGCUUACACUACACGAACUAAUUCGGCUGAGAGCAUCUCUAACCCAAAAUCCCAUUUUAAUCUAACCUAUACUAAAAGGGUUAUAUAAGCAUCAGAGAGUGUGUCCACGUAGGACAAUUAAAUCAUCCAAUCAGAGAACAGCUCUCCGCCACGUCAGAUACGCAUGACAAAUUUUAAUUUUCUCAAAAUCGAAUCUCGAUCCCUUUCUCUUCGUCUUCUCCGUCUGCUAUUUUAGAUCGAAACCGUGUUCGACUGGUCUUGCAGCGACGAAUCACCCGCGAGGCAUAGUCUUAUCUUCCGCGGUUUGAUCCAUGUGCUGUACGCAGGGUCGGCAAGAUCCUCGCACGAUGAAUCGACAGAAGAAGCUAUUGAGUUUGCGACUCAGCAGGGGAAAGAGAAGGAGCUGUGCAAGACUGGAGACUCCGUUGUUGCUCUACUCCGAGUUGGGAACGCUUCCCUAAUCAAGAUCUUGACCGUUAAGUGAUGAUGAUUAGGAAAAAUCCCGUUUUUGGCGUCUGGCGUUUGGAGGAAACGCAACUAUAUACGUUUUUCUUAAUAUGAAUUUUAUUCAAGAUUUGUGAUUAAAAUCUUGAGAUUGAAAACUCAAAUUCUAUUUCUUGAUAAUUACAACUGUGGUGACCCGUGUGAAUCCACUUACGGUUUUUCUUUCUUCUGGAUUUCUAUUGGUUGUAUGGAACUAAUGAAUCGUACACGUAUCUCUACUAUCAUGAUUUUUUUUUUUUUUGGUGAAGUUUGAUGCUUUGGUUGCAGCCCUUCCGUUAUCAGACUGAGGUGAAGAAACUCAGUUGAAAAGAAUUGCUGAACUCCUGGUAUUGAUAAAUAAAUCAUUGCAUGUUCCCUUCUAUGCUAUUUUUCUUCAGGUGGAAAAUGAUGUUAUUGGCCAAGAGCUCUCUAACGAUUUACAUCUAUUCUGAUCCAACUGCUGCGGAACGUUUGUAUCAAAGAAAGAUGUCAUGUAGAAAAAGUCAUCAGCUGGGCAAGCACAAGGUUUAACAACCACUAAACCACUCAGUUGAGACAGUAGGAUCUCUUUCGUGUUGAUCAUACAAGCUUGCGAUAUAGAGCUAGAAGACAAAGCCAUAGAAGUAGCAGAGCUGAAAACAGAGAGGUAGAGCUAGAGAGAAUUACAAGGCUGAAGCAUGUAGAGGCAGACAUAUCCCCAGCUAAAAGUUAACGAUGCAAAGCGGAGGCUGAUUGGUCGAUUAUUAAGGACAUGGACAAUAUUCAAACGCUGGAUGCAAAAUUGUUUUCAGUAUUUUAUUUGCUAACGCCACCGUAUGUGCAGGUUGCAGAGUUUAAAUGCCUACUCGGUGUUAAAGCUAAUACCAAAGAAUGAAUACUAUAACAAAACUCUCCAGCUUCCAAAAGAAUUUGAUGCUACAACCGCUUGGUGACAGUGCACCAGUGUUGGAAGGAUCCUAGGUCUCAUUCAUCUUCUGUCUAUUUGGAAAUUAAACUUACUGAAGAAGUUGCAAGGGAUAAGCAAAGUUGCUUCUUCUUCAGGAAACAAGUUAGGUUGCAAGAAACACUGACACCAAAGAAGUUGCUUAUUCUAGCUCUUCAGGAAGCUGAGAGAAAUGGAAAUAGCAUAUAUAUUAUCUGCCUUAUCCGUGUGGAGGAUUCAGAGGAUGAGGACCAUACUUCUCAGGUUUCAACUGAAUCACUUUGGUUUACUCCAAAAGAGAGGUAUUAGCUUAUAACUACUAUACACUGUGCUCUUUGGUGUCUGAAGGAAAGAAAUCUACUCUCAGGUAUAUAUUUAAAUAUAUGGUUUUCGUAGCAAUUUAAAAUUGGAUUCAUAUAGUUUUAAGCACACAACAGAUAUGCUAAUUUGAAGGUUCAUCGCAAUGGAACUCUAUAAUGUCUGAGAGGUCCUCUAUAGUUCCAUCGUCAGGCUUCCCAAGUUUAAUCUUUCUCCAAGGUAUAAGUAUUUUCACUAUUAUAUUUUUAAAUUUCACUAUCUUUUUAUCUAUGUAGUAGCAUAUUGAAAACCCAAUGUGAUAAGAAUCUCUCAUUCUGAGAAUUCAAAAAGUUUCCAUAUGGCGGAAGGGAUGUAACACUUCUGAAGUCAUUUGAGUUCCAAGACCUAUAUUCAUGUGGUCAGUUUUUACCGUUUCAAGUUUCAACAGUGGUCACUCCACUUUGGAUCAGCUUGCAUUCAGUUACAUGCCAGUUAAGUUCAAGUUUCUUCGUGCAAGAGCGUGCACCCGAACAUCACCUCUCAAUUUAGCUAUAGAGAUUCUGAAAUGGAGUGAGGAGAGAACAAACAUAUGCGUGAUGUAUACUCUAUGUCCAGUACUUAUCAAGUUCUUCUCAAAUCAGUGUAUUCACAUUAAAAACAAGUCUAAUGUAAAUAGUCACCACUAUCUGGAGUAGAGAUUCUUACACAUUGAUCUUAAUUGUUUGAGAUUCAGUUCAGCGCAUUCA